ACAUGGCCAGUGUGGCUAUCUCUGAUGGCAACAUCAAGAUGUCUAAUGACAUGAAGGCACACGAGUUGGUGACAUCAGAGGAGGUGAAACAGUGCAAGAAGGUAGUGCUCUUCUGACAUAAUGAGGCCAAGAAGAAUGUCACCCUGGAAGGGGCAAGGAGAUCCUCGUAGGUGGUGCAGGCCAGACUGUUGAUGGCCCUAUGCCACCUUAGUCAAGAUGCUGCCAGACAAGGACUGCUCCUCCACCCUCUAUGACACAGCCUGAGACCAAGAACAGCAAGAAGGAAGAUCUGGAGUUUAUCUUCUGGGACCCUGAGUCUGUACCCUCUAAGAGCUAAGUGACCUAUGCCAGCUCCAAGGAUGUCAUCAAGGGGAAGCUGAUGGAGAUCAAGCAUGAAUCACAAGGAGGUCAAGGGCCAUAGCAUCCUGGCAGAGAAGCUUGGAGGCAGCGCCAUCAUCUCCUGGAGGGCAUGCCU
rnacentral:lncRNA from 1 species